UGUACACAGUGUGUGAUCUGAUGUGUCUCCCAGCAUAGCAGGGAGACAGCACAAAGGACCUGAGGCUGGGGGUGGCUCCUCUGUCUUUGUGGAAUCUCCAUGGGGGAUUGGACCCUCCCCUAAAGGCGCAUGGACAGAUUCUACAAACGCUUUGAGCUCAGCCAAGGCCCUUCACAACGCCUUGCCAACUCUUCUGCUUACAACAAGCCGCUCUCGUCAGCGGUACCCAUAGAACGCUGCUUUAUCUGAUGCUUCCAAAUGUGUUCCCUUCUGAGCCAGGGUGGCGCAGUCGAUAACAGAUCAGAAGAGUUCCUGACCCUCUGAAGGAACCACGCCAAGCCUUUCAAGUGUUCACCAGGACUUUCUUUUCUGUCUACAUCACCCAGCCAAGAUACCAGCCCGCCCCUGAGCUCAGAAGAUGUCUGUGGUAUGAAUGGAUUCCAAGCAGAUGACACAAAAAUGAAGAAGAUGGGAGAACGGUCGGGAGCCACCCUCUAGCAGACGAUUACAUUUAUAUGCAUUAAAGAUGGACUCUGUCUUAUGUGUUAGCAUAAUGGCCUAAUCAUUUCCAUCCAACAGUACAGAUAGAUGUGUGUUCUCAUUGUCUUAAAAAUAGGUCCAUGAUGACCGUGCAGGAUUAAUGGAUGAAAUGCAGGAUUGGCGAUUAAAACUGGGAUUGUGGCUAUAGUCAGCCUUGGGAACAAGGAACUCUCAAGAAGGAAUAUUCAAAACCUGACUCCCAAGAUCCUGUAAACCAAUUAAACAAUAGCGAGAUGAGCUUCGCUAGGACAAGGGAGACCCUGGCUGACAUUUCCAAGCCAAGCCUGGAGAUUGCUGUUUGUCCACCCUGAGAAGCUGAGGUGCUGCUCACAGUAGGGGGCAAAGAAAAAACUGCUUAUGUGACACUCAAGUGCCCUCUGGCCCCACGUGUGGGAAUUUCUUUUAAAGGUCUUAGUAUAUGGGACGACAGAAUGGAAAGAGAUCGAUUAUCUACUGCAAGCCUAAUUAUAGCUGCAACUGCGAGUGCGAAAGAAAGGGUCACGUGACACGUUCAACACACGAGCUUGGAGCAGGAACAGUUUCCAAUGACAGCCACCAGGUGGCAGAACAGAACGCAAACCUCUCCGCAGUAGAGGUCAGCCCUCACUUCCUCUUAGGUGAGCCCUUUCUUUUAAGGGAAGACUCAGUGUUGACGCUAUCACUAGAGAUCCAGACUCUGCAGUCAGCAUUCAGGACUUGAGUUUGUGUCCUGUUGAUCCUGAGUCACACUCCGCGGGCCUCUGCAGGUUCUUCAUGAUCAUUCCUUUUUCUGUCAAAAGGAUGUAAUAGAACCUAGUUUAUACGGUUAUUUCAAAGACUAAGAGAA